rnacentral:rRNA from 2 species
UGGGGAAUGUUGGGCAAUGGGCAAGGCGCCUGAUCCAGCCAUAUAGUAAGAGUGAGAAAAAGAAAUAAAACUCUAAAGAGAAGGAAAAUAGUGAUACAAAUUCUCUACAAAUCCUGACUAAUCUCGUGCCAGCAGUCGCGGUAAUACGAGAAGGAUAAGCGUAAUUCAUAAUAUCUAGGUGUAAAGGGUCUGUAGGCGGCAAAAAGCUAGAGUGUAAAAGAGGAAAGAGGAAUUAAAUAAGGAGGGAUGAAAUCCAUAGAUAUAAAUUAGGAACAUCAAAGGCGAAGGCAUCUUUCUCAUAAACACUGACGCUAAGAGACUAAAGUGUGGGUAGCGAAAAGGAUUAGAUACCCCU